AACGGCAAAGACUGUUGAUAUG
rnacentral:miRNA from 1 species